CUGCAUCGCAUCGCGGUGAGUUUCUAUUUCUUGGUAAUUCGGUUUGUGAAAUGACUAUUAACUACAAGCACAGCAUCAUCAACGGUGAAUCUUGGUAAAUACGUUUUGGUCGUGACCAAGGGUGGUUGUUGUUGUUGUAGCAGCAUACAAAUUCCCCAAAGACUUUUUGGGGAGUGUUGCUGGAGUGACAGUCCUUGGCCAGAUAUAAAUCUGGGUCGUUCCGGUUACGUAGACCCGACUGUCGUGGGAACGUGACCAAGGGUGGUCUCCCAAAUCGGCUGGGAAUAAGGCUAUUGUUGCAGAACAAAACGCCGCAACCACUGCUGUGGUAAAUAUGUUCCAGCAGAACUGCCCAUCGCCGUCGGUGUAAUGAUUUCGAUAGCUGAACAAACGCCAUCUCCUGGGCAUUCCCACAGCUUGCCGACACUAGCUAUUAUAUCACGUGUGAAUGCAACUGCGGCAAAAUUUGGUUAUUAACAGUGCAAUAGUACCAUGUCAUUGGCAAAAACACUAAGGGCUGCUGGCACAUAAAGGUUGUAAAGUUUUUGGUAUCGAUGAACUUAAUCGAAGAAGACGAUGGCCGAAAACAUAUGAUGAAACAUCUUCUGGCAUGCCUUUGAUAAACGUUAUGUCAGACAGAGGCUUCACAUACGAUAUUUCACACAUGGCUGGAAUUCGUUAGCGGGCAGAGCACACAUUUACAAAAUAUUUAUCGUUCUGCAGAACGUGCAUGCAUAUUCGAUUCCGAUUUUAUGGGUUGAUUACGGAGGACAACCGUACUUCAGUUGGUUGCCCAGUGGCUGAAAUGGUAUUCCCGAUGGCAACUAGCAACUGAAAGCUAACCACUAAGUUGCUAUAUUGGCAACUGCAUUCUUGUGGCUGCCGGGAAAUUUUGAUUGAGAUACUUUAUUUCUUUUUUCAACUU